CUGUUUCUUUUUUAUUUUAUUGGCUAAGCACUUGAUAUUGACCCCAUUAAAGGUUUUUUUCCUGAAAAACACCCUCACUUUUACACCAGUCAUGAUAGGCAUCAGAGUAAACUAUCAAAGAAGCAUCGAACUCUUAAUGUUUUCUUGGUAGUUGGUGAUUGUAUCUUAGUUGGAUUACAGCCAAUUUUGGUGUACAUAUGUAAGAUGGAUGGGAAGUUGAGCUUUAAUGCUAUUAGUGUGAAUUUUUUGACAGAAGUUGCAAAGGUUACAAAUUAGAAGGCUGGAGGCAAGCCACUUCUUUCAGUCCCCGAUUUUAUACAGGUUUGUCUUGAGGGAAGGUCUGCUGGACAAUGGUAACUAAACAUGAUUAAGAAAACCAUUGAUGAAGGUUCAACUUUUCAUUGUGUUGGUUCUUGACAAUGCUCAUUGGAGUAUGCUGGUUAAAAUUUUCAGUUGUUAUUUUCCUAUUUCUUUUGGCUCUUUUGUAAAUGA